AUUGAACGCUGGCGGCAGGCCUAACACAUGCAAGUCGAACGAGUGGCGGACGGGUGAGUAAUGUCUGGGAAACUGCCUGAUGGAGGGGGAUAACUACUGGAAACGGUAGCUAAUACCGCAUACCAUCGGAUGUGCCCAGAUGGGAUUAGCUAGCAGGGGGGGUAACGGCUCACCUAGGCGACGCUCCCUAGCUGGUCUGAGAGGAUGACCAGCAACACUGGAACUGAGAAACGGUCCAGACUCCUACGGGAGGCAGCAGUGGGGAAUAUUGCACAAUGGGCGCAAGCCUGAUGCAGCCAUGCCGCGUGUAUGAAGAAGGCCUUCGGGUUGUAAAGUACUUUCGGCGGGGAGGCGUUACUCGAAGAAGAAGCACCGGCUAACUCCGUGCCAGCAGCCGCGGUAAUUC
rnacentral:rRNA from 1 species